rnacentral:rRNA from 1 species
AGUGAACGCUGGCGGUAGGCCUAACACAUGCAAGUCGAACGGCAGCACAGUAAGAGCUUGCUCUUACGGGUGGCGAGUGGCGGACGGGUGAGGAAUACAUCGGAAUCUACUUUUUCGUGGGGGAUAACGUAGGGAAACUUACGCUAAUACCGCAUACGACCUACGGGUGAAAGCAGGGGAUCUUCGGACCUUGCGCGAUUGAAUGAGCCGAUGUCGGCUUAGCUAGUUGGCGGGGUAAAGGCCCACCAAGGCGACGAUCCGUAGCUGGUCUGAGAGGAUGAUCAGCCACACGGGAACUGAGACACGGUCCAGACCCCGACGGGAGGCAGCAGUGGGGAAUAUUGGGCAAGGGGCGCAAGCCUGAACCAGCCAGACCGCGUGGGUGAAGAAGGCCUUCGGGUUGUAAAGCCCUUUUGUUGGGAAAGAAAAGCAGCAGGUUAAUACCCCGCUGUUCGGACGGUACCCAAAGAAUAAGCACCGGCAAACUGCGG